CAACCCCUCAAGCCCCAGCGGCUUGGUGUUGGGGAUCGACCCGCCGCCUGACCCCCCCGGGGGGAUGGCAGGGUCGGCCCUGAAAUACAGUGGCGGUCCCGUCGCGGCCCCCUCUGCGUAGUAGCACACCUCGCAGUGGAGAGCGGCGCGGCCACGCCCAACCCCAUACUUCUCAA
rnacentral:misc_RNA from 1 species